AAAAGCUGCCUGUUUGUCUGUUUCUGUGUGGCAGCCCUGAUCCUCUGAUGGAUUUGUGGGUUGUCCAUGUCAUGGUUCUGGAUCUUGAACCCAGGGCAUUCAAUUUGAGGCUUUUUAGAUUCUGUUUUUCUUCUUCUUCUUUUUUUAUAUAGUUGAAGCAUUUAUUUCUGUUGAUUCAGUAGAGAUCCUUGCUCUGUGUUCCUGUUAGGUUUUUAGUUAGUCUCAACUUGGGGUGGCUGUGGCAUAGAAGGGGUUGGUCGUAUUUCAGUCUGUGCACCAAAGUAUCUUUUUGGCAAAAUAGUUAACCCUGAGUUUCUCCCAGUGUGUUCACUGGCGUGUUAAUGCUGGACAGAAAGCACUUAGGCAAAGAAACGAGUGCUUGUGUGAAUGAGGCUUGUAGUAUGAAGUGUUGUGGGUGCUCAAGCAGAGUGUCCCUUUGCCAGUGAUUCAUGACACCCCAGGGUGUUGCCUGCCUCUCGCCUUGUGACGACAGGUCCCCUUCAGGGUCACCACAGCAUAUCAUCUGCCUCCAUCUCACCCUAUCCCAGAAUUCUCUUCAUGUCAUCCAUCAAUCCAUCAUCCCGGCUGGCAGUUCCAUUUUUGACAUCCUGAGUCCAGUAUAUCCACUAUCCCUCCUCCAUUUAAGCUUUGACUCUCUAACGUUCAAACUACUCAACUCUACAACUUAUUUAAAAAAAUCAGGAUAACAGCUUGCAUGGCUAAUGAUGAUCAGCAGUAAAUUAACCUGUUAGUGAUCGUGCCAGCUCGACUACCCCAUGUUUAGUGGACUCUCCCAGGUCAUAGAAGGCUCAUAAGAACUAAGAAUGUCUCAUAUGGGUCACUGUUACUGCAAGACAUGUACUACAGAAAUGUAACGGGACAGUCUUGUCCACUGUGAAUUAAAGGACUAAGAUCAAAUGUUCCUUCUGUGCAGCUUUGUCAUCCCCUCAUCCCUCUCAUCAAUCUCUCCCUAAGCCAAUAUUUUUAGCCUCGUCUAUUUUUCAUACCCCAAUUUUGUACCUUGGAGACCGGCUGAUGUUUCAAUAAACUCAAUAUACUCUGAGAGCUAAAGUGAAACACAAGUGAUAGAAGUCAAUACAACUUCCAUGCGGUUUCCUGGAAUGCA